rnacentral:lncRNA from 1 species
UAGAAAACGAUGAGGUGAAGUGGAGGAAUCCAUUGAAAAAUUAAUUAAGUCGGUUAUUUAAUGGUAAAUAUGAAUGAGUAGGACUUUCAACUCUUAUUUCUUUACAAGUGGGAGAGAGAGAGAGAGAGGGACCUAACCUACGAUAAGUCCUUACUUUUAAAUCUCAUUAUUAUACCUAAAAUCAAUAUUUUAUGAAACC